rnacentral:tRNA from 1 species
GCGUCUGUAGCCUAGUUGGUAAAGGCAGCACUCUAGUAUGUGUCUCAGCAUAGCUGAGGUCGUGAGUUUGAAUCUCACCAGACACA